AUUGAACGCUGGCGGCAUGCCUUACACAUGCAAGUCGAACGGUAACGGGUCUUCGGAUGCUGACGAGUGGCGAACGGGUGAGUAAUACAUCGGAACGUGCCUAGUAGUGGGGGAUAACUACUCGAAAGAGUUGCUAAUACCGCAUGAGAUCUACGGAUGAAAGCAGGGGAUCGCAAGACCUUGUGCUACUAGAGCGGCCGAUGGCAGAUUAGGUAGUUGGUGGGAUAAAAGCUUACCAAGCCGACGAUCUGUAGCUGGUCUGAGAGGACGAUCAGCCACACUGGGACUGAGACACGGCCCAGACUCCUACGGGAGGCAGCAGUGGGGAAUUUUGGACAAUGGGCGCAAGCCUGAUCCAGCAAUGCCGUGUGCAGGAUGAAGGCCUUCGGGUUGUAAACUGCUUUUGUACGGAACGAAAAGCCCUGGGUUAAUACCCUGGGGUCAUGACGGUACCGUAAGAAUAAGCACCGGCUAACUACGUGCCAGCCGCCGCAGUAAUAC
rnacentral:rRNA from 1 species